UGGGGAAUAUUGGACAAUGGGCGAAAGCCUGAUCCAGCGACGCCGCGUGUGUGAAGAAGGCCUGCGGGUUGUAAAGCACUUUCGAUGGGAACGAAAUGUGCCGGGUUAAUACCCCGGUAAGCUGACGUUACUCAAUGAAGAAGCACCGGCUAACUCUGUGCCAGCAGCCGCGGUAAUACAGAGGGGGCAAGCGUUGUUCGGAAUUACUGGGCGUAAAGGGCGCGUAGGCGGCCUGCUAAGUCGAACGUGAAAUCCCCGGGCUCAACCCGGGAACUGCGUCCGAUACUGGCAGGCUUGAAUUCGGGAGAGGGAUGCGGAAUUCCAGGUGUAGCGGUGAAAUGCGUAGAUAUCAAGAGGAACACCUGAGGUGAAGACGGGUUGCUGGGCUGACACUGACGCUGAGGCGCGAAAGCCAGGGGAGCAAACGGGAUUAGAUACCCCAGUAGUCCCUGAGCGGGCUGGCAAGGCGCAU
rnacentral:rRNA from 1 species